AGAGUUUGAUCCUGGCUCAGGAUGAACGCUAGCUACAGGCUUAACACAUGCAAGUCGAGGGGCAGCAUGGUCUUAGCUUGCUAAGGCCGAUGGCGACCGGCGCACGGGUGAGUAACACGUAUCCAACCUGCCGUCUACUCUUGGACAGCCUUCUGAAAGGAAGAUUAAUACAAGAUGGCAUCAUGAGUCCGCAUGUUCACAUGAUUAAAGGUAUUCCGGUAGACGAUGGGGAUGCGUUCCAUUAGAUAGUAGGCGGGGUAACGGCCCACCUAGUCUUCGAUGGAUAGGGGUUCUGAGAGGAAGGUCCCCCACAUUGGAACUGAGACACGGUCCAAACUCCUACGGGAGGCAGCAGUGAGGAAUAUUGGUCAAUGGGCGAGAGCCUGAACCAGCCAAGUAGCGUGAAGGAUGACUGCCCUAUGGGUUGUAAACUUCUUUUAUAAAGGAAUAAAGUCGGGUAUGCAUACCCGUUUGCAUGUACUUUAUGAAUAAGGAUCGGCUAACUCCGUGCCAGCAGCCGCGGUAAUACGGAGGAUCCGAGCGUUAUCCGGAUUUAUUGGGUUUAAAGGGAGCGUAGGUGGAUUGGUAAGUCAGUUGUGAAAGUUUGCGGCUCAACCGUAAAAUUGCAGUUGAUACUGGCAGUCUUGAGUACAGUAGAGGUGGGCGGAAUUCGUGGUGUAGCGGUGAAAUGCUUAGAUAUCACGAAGAACUCCGAUUGCGAAGGCAGCCUGCUAAGCUGCAACUGACAUUGAGGCUCGAAAGUGUGGGUAUCAAACAGGAUUAGAUACCCUGGUAGUCCACACGGUAAACGAUGAAUACUCGCUGUUUGCGAUAUACGGCAAGCGGCCAAGCGAAAGCGUUAAGUAUUCCACCUGGGGAGUACGCCGGCAACGGUGAAACUCAAAGGAAU
rnacentral:rRNA from 1 species